GAAGAGUGUUUGAUAGGGAAUGAAAGACCCGCUUGACUUAAGCAUAUCAAUAAGCGGAGGAAAAGGAAUCCAAGGAGACCGUCUUAGUAAUAGCGAAUGACAAGACGGUAGCUCUAGGCUGAGUCUCUCUGUAAGAGGGACUGUGAGGCGCAAGCAAGCGGGUAGUCUAGGCUUCCCAUGGCAAGGUCUCUCGUGAAUGUGGUUCGUUCAUAGGAAAGGUGAAGGACCAAGAGAGCUGGGAAGGUCUAGGCACGCCCGCUUGAGAGUGGAGUAGGAAUAUUUGGAAUUGUAUUCUGAAGCUUGAGGUAAACCAUUCACAAAGCUAAAGACUGGCGGCAAGGCCAAUAGCAAACAAGUACCGUGAGGGAAAGUUGAAAAGAACUUUGAAGAGAGAGUCAAAAGUAUGUGAAAUUGUCCUUUGACAAACGGUGUAAGGGUCUCAAGCUGGUAUUCCUUGUGUUCAUAGGAAGGUGAACCUGGGUACCAGUUAGAGUCAACCUUGAAGGAGAAGGAAGGAGGUGCAUUAGACGGGAGAGCUAGCACUUCAGUUGUGUGUAGAGGGCGGCAUAGCGAGCGCUAAAGCACUCGUUGUUGAAAAGUAAAGACGGUGACAUCGACCCGUCUUGAAACACGGAUCAAGGAGUUUAACAGGCGGACAAAUAGAACCCAAGUAGAGGGUUGGUGUGAAGGGAAGUCAAGUGGGAAACCAAGGCAUGUGGUUUCGUUGAAGGCUUGCUAUAGUAGUAGCGGCAAAGUCAGAUUGAGUGAAUCUGUUAAGACCCGAAAGAUGGUGAACUAUGCUUGAUCAGGGUGAAGCCAGGUGAAAGCCUGGUGGAGGCCCGUAGCAAUUCUGACGUGCAAAUCGAUUGUCAGAGUCGAGUAUAGGGGCGAAAGACUAAUCGAACUAUCUAGUAGCUGGUUCCAGUCGAAGUUUCCCUAAGGAUAGCUGUAAUUCACAAGGAUAGUUUCAUCUGGUAAAGCAAAUGACUAGGAGGAAUGGGAUUGGAACGAUCUCAACUCAUUCUCAAACUAUAAAUGGAUGAGAAUAGCUUGGCGCUUAAGUAGAAGGCCUUGCUAAAGUUGGAAGGAAUAUGAAAGGACGUGUGGGCCAUUCUUGGUAAGCAGGACUGGCGCUGUGGGAUGAUCCAAACGCAGAGUUAAAGUAACAAAGUCAUAGUUCAUAAGAUACCACAAAAGGUGUUGGUUUCUUAAGACAGCAGGACGGUGACCAUGGAAGUUGGGACCCGCUAAGGAGUGUGUAACAACUCACCUGUCGAAGAAAGCAGUCCUGAAAAUGGAUGUUGCUAAAACUAUAGAAGGACUUAUACUCCAGCUGUGCCUAGAGGUUGGCUAGGCACAAGUAGGCUGGUAAUAACGUGGCAAGAAAGGGCCAGUUAAAGUAAAGUCGGGAGCAACGUUGUGUGCAGAUCUUGGUGGAAGUAGCGAAUAAUCCAAGGAGGGAUUGGAUAGUCGAAGUGGAGAAAGGUUUCGUGUGAACAGUAGUUGAACGCGAGUCAGGCGGUUCUAAUCUAAAGUUGAAGUAUGUACAAGGCACAGGCAAGUGCAAGCGGAGAAAGGGAAACUUGUUAGAGUUCAAGUUCCUAUACCAGUCUCAUCCUAGCAUAUAGGCCUGGGUAACCAGGAAAGUGGAUUGGGAUUCCUUCUAACCCCAGAGAGAGAGUUGUCUUUUCUAUAUAAGCGAAAGGUCACCUUGAAACACUGUCAGAGUGAGUAAAGGUAACCCUAGCUAAGAACACGUCCGUUCAAGACGUGUCUCUGGUGGAAGCUGGACCUUGAAAACCAAUCUUAAGGCUAUGGUUGAACUGGUGUAGGCCGUACUCAUAUCCGCAGCAGGUCUCCAAGGUUAAGAACCUCUGACCAAUAGAAUAAUGUAGGUAAGGGAAGUCGGCAAAAUGGUUCUGUAACUUUGGGAGAAAGAAUGGCUCUGAAGGCUAAGCUAGUCGGGUUUAGCGUGGAAGUGCCCUUGGAUUGGAAGGACUGGAUGUGGUUCGGACCUUUAAUCUUGAAGGCAUGGAAGCGCUAGGCUUCAUAUACUUACGUAUAUACGUCUAGCUAUCAAUAGCUUGAUCAGAACUGACACGAGCAGGGGGAAUCCGACUGUUUAAUUAAAACAAAGCAUCGAGAUAGUCAAAGGGUGACAUUGACUCGAUGUGAUUUCUGCCCAGUGCUCUGAAUGUCAAAUGGAAGAGGUCCCAUUAAGCGCGGGUAAACGGCGGGAGUAACUAUGACUCUCUUAAGGUAGCCAAAUGCCUCGUCAGAUAACUACUGACGCGCAUGAACGGAUUAACGAGAUUCCCACUGUCCCUAUCUACCAUCUAGCGAACCCGCAGUCAAGGGAACGGACUUGUGGAUAUUAGCGGGGAAAGAAGACCCUGUUGAGCUUGACUCUAGUUUCGCUUGGUGGAGAGGAAUACUUGAAGUAGGAUAGAGAGGAGGUGUAAAAGCCAGUCUUGAAAUACUCUCACACGUAUGUCUUCUCUGCUUAAGAAGUCGGAAGGGAAAGACAGCUUGGCUUAAUGCCUUGCUUCAGUUGUAGAAGGAAGUUGAAAGGGCAACCCUAACCUCAGAGAGAGUGAGGCAGGGAGUUUGACUGGGGCGGUACAUCUGUCAAACGAUAACGCAGGUGUCCUAAGGUUGGCUCCUCAAGGAAAGAAACCUUGAAUAGAGUAGAAGGGCACAAGCCAGCUUGAGUUCUCCUUUCAGUACAAGGAGAACCUUGGAAACAACGGCCUAUCGAUCCUCUUUAAUUCGUGGUUUGAAGGAAGAGGUGACAGAAAAGUUACCACAGGGAUAACUGGCUUGUGGCUGCCAAGCGUUCAUAGCGACGUAGCUUUUUGAUCCUUCGAUGUCGGCUCUUCCUAUCAUUUUGAAGCAGAAUUCAGAAAGUGUCGGAUUGUUCACCCGUCAAAAGGGAACGUGAGCUGGGUUUAGACCGUCGUGAGACAGGUUAGUUUUACCCUACUAAUAGGGAGGACUAGUCUUGAGUAAGGCUCUUUAGUACGAGAGGAACCAGAGCCUGGUACCGCUGGUGUUUCUGUUGUUUGACUUGUCAGAGCAGAUGCGCUAAGUACUUUGGUUAAUAGCUGAACGCCUCUAAGCUAGAGACCAGUCUUGAGA
rnacentral:rRNA from 1 species